GAACGAACUCUGGAGUUGAUUGGUGCUUGCGUCAUGAUUUACAUUUGAGUGAGUGGCGAAGUGGUGAGUAACACGUGGGAAACCUGCCCAGAAGCGGGGGAUAACACCUGGAAACAGAUGCUAAUACCGCAUAACAACUUGGACCGCAUGGUCCGAGCUUGAAAGAUGGCUUCGGCUAUCACUUUUGGAUGGUCCCGCGGCGUAUUAGCUAGAUGGUGGGGUAACGGCUCACCAUGGCAAUGAUACGUAGCCGACCUGAGAGGGUAAUCGGCCACAUUGGGACUGAGACACGGCCCAAACUCCUACGGGAGGCAGCAGUAGGGAAUCUUCCACAAUGGACGAAAGUCUGAUGGAGCAACGCCGCGUGAGUGAAGAAGGGUUUCGGCUCGUAAAACUCUGUUGUUAAAGAAGAACAUAUCUGAGAGUAACUGUUCAGGUAUUGACGGUAUUUAACCAGAAAGCCACGGCUAACUACGUGCCAGCAGCCGCGGUAAUACGUAGGUGGCAAGCGUUGUCCGGAUUUAUUGGGCGUAAAGCGAGCGCAGGCGGUUUUUUAAGUCUGAUGUGAAAGCCUUCGGCUCAACCGAAGAAGUGCAUCGGAAACUGGGAAACUUGAGUGCAGAAGAGGACAGUGGAACUCCAUGUGUAGCCGGU
rnacentral:rRNA from 1 species